GGAGGGUGCGAGCGUUGUCCGGAUUUAUUGGGUUUAAAGGGUGCGUAGGUGGCUGUUUAAGUCAGUGGUGAAAUACGGUUGCUCAACAAUCGAGGUGCCAUUGAUACUGAAUAGCUUGAAAUAAUUGGAGGCUGCCGGAAUGGAUGGUGUAGCGGUGAAAUGCAUAGAUAUCAUCCAGAACACCGAUUGCGAAGGCAGGUGGCUACGAUUGGUUUGACACUGAGGCACGAAAGCAUGGGGAGCAAACAGGAUUAGAUACCCUGGUAGUCCAUGCUGUAAACGAUGAGGACUCGCUGUUUGAUGGCAACAUUGAGCGGCUUAGGGAAACCGUUAAGUCCUCCACCUGGGGAGUACGCCGGCAACGGUG
rnacentral:rRNA from 1 species